CACCUCCAGUCCCUAUCGGGCAGGGAGGUUGCUUUAGUAACCCCUUCUUGGCACUCAGAAAAAAUUAGUAACCACUUCUAGAGAAGUGGUGAGAACUGGUUGGAUCCCACCUCUGAACCCAACCCCACAUCUUCCACCAGUGGCCGGGGAGACCUGGCUACACUACGCUUUAUAGAAAGAAAUCCCCUGUACGUCAAAGCAAAUAAAACGUGUAUCGGAGAGAAGGGUAAGAUAGAACCCUUCCCCUUGGUGCUGGAUUCUAUGAGAAAUGUGCAGGGGGCGGGGAGGUGUUGUAUGGGGGAGCAUUGUCAGCUGAGACCAUACCUGCCAUCUGAAGUGGUUUGGCUCAAACAGAGGUUUAUUAGCUCAGUGAUAACAAGCCAUUUAUGGAUACCCCGACUUUCCGCCUGCUAGGUGCAGCCACCUCUUCAGGCAGUCAAAGCAGGAAUCUGGUAACGUAGGUUGAGCAGUCCUUAGACAGUCCUGCAGUAACCCCUGCCUGCCAUGCCAUCCAAUCGAAUGCAUUCCAUUGCUGGGUUUGGCAGGGCGCAUUUAGGUGGAACCAGUCUACUGGCCUCCUGGUUUUGAACCCCAUAGGUAUAGCCUUUAUCUUGCUACUUUUGGGUAACCCACAGGGAUGCUGGAUGGGAAAGUUGCUGGAGAGCUUGGUGUUUUUGAUGGAGGAGAUCCCUGUAUUCUAAUUCUUCCUGUUACCAAGUGCCAAGGGCCUAGUCUGCUUUAUCACAUCCUCUGGGGUCCAGUCACAGGCUCUCCCCAUGUCUAUUUUAGCCAAUUCCACAUAUCUCCUCCUUCCUUAUGUGACGCCUGUCAGUGUUUCUGAAGCAGCAGCCCCACUAGCCUGGGCCUCUUUCUCUUUGCUGGCCCUAUUUCUAGUGAAACACAGAGGCACAGAAAGGGGAGAAAAAUAAUUAAUUAGGCACAGCUACAAACUGAUCAACAGGCUUUAUUUAACAAAUGGAAAUCAGUAGCAAAAGGUAUGCUCUGCAAUAUAUGAAAAUGACGCCUUGUAACCUGGGUUUCUGUUUCUGCAUUCCGCACACGCAGGCAUAUGCACGUGUACAUACUGGCACACACACACACACACACACACGACUCACUGUUUUCAGACAUAGCUAGGGUUGCCGCCCUCCAGAUGUGGCCUGGAGAUCUCCUGAUAUUACAACCUGUCAAGACGGGGUGGCCAAUAUGGCACCCCAGAUGUUCAUGGACUACAAUUCCCAUCAUGGGAAUUGUAGUCCAUGAACAUCUGGGGUGCCAUAGGUUGGCCAAACCUGUGCUAAGACAUCUCCUCUCCCUAAACUCUGUCUUCCUCAUGCUUCACCCCCAAAUUUCCAGGAAUCUCCUACUCAGGAGUCGGUAGGGGUGCCAACUCCAGGUUAGGAUAUACCUGGGGCUUUGAGGGUAGAUUAGGCAGGGGAGGGACUUCAAUGGGGUUUAAUGCCAUAAAGUCUGCCUUCGAAAGCAGCCAUUCUCUCUAGAGGAACGGAUCGAUGUCAUCCGGAGAUCAGUUGAAAUCUCAGCUCUCCAGCCACCACUGGGAGGUUAGCAACCCUAGGAGAUAGUGGCUCUAGACAGAGCUGCUCCUUACCUCAUUUUCUUCUGCUACAAAGGGAAAAAUGUCUUCAAUUUAUUCCUCACUAGCAAGGAAAAGAAUACCAAUGGCACACUUACCUGUAUCCUUGUGAGCGUAUCCCUACAGUAGUGCUCAAAGAUGCAUGGGAUCCUCUGACCCUAGAGCCAUGGUGGCGAACCUAUGGCACUCCAGAUGUUCAUGGACUACAAUUCCCAUCAGCCAAUUGGCCAUGCUGGCAGGGGCUGAUGGGAAUUGUUGUCCAUGAACAUCUGGAGUGCCGUAGGUUCGCCAUCACUGACCUAGAGGGGUAACCCAGCCUGUGAGUAUGGAAAGGUCUUUCAAGGGGUAGCAAUAAGAACUGGGUGCACUUAACUGUUCAGAGUCAGGAGUCCCUAAUAGGAAACCAGAGUAGGCGGCUCAAUUAGGAGCAUAGACAGAAACAUAAAACCACACAAAACAAAGAGGAGGGCAAAUGUGCUUGGAGGGCAAAUAGGGCCUUGACAAGAUCAAGGCAAUCCCUGUGAUGAAGUUAAUAUUGUAAACAUGACAUAUGCACUUUAAGCAUCUAUUUGCUGUAGAAAAGGCACAGUUGACCAGACUUCAGGAGGGUACAGUAAGAAUGACAAUGAGGGUAAAGAAGGAAAAAUCCUGAGUAACAAUAUAAUUUUCUAACUUGCUGCUGUCUGUUUGGUUUUUUUCAAUCCAGGCUGAAGGGUUGUGCAAUUCUUUAAAUGUAGAAGGUGGCCACCCAUUUUGGGCUCAGCACCUACCUCACACUUUGUUGCCCUUUCAGACAGGAGCAUAUGGCCGUUGAAAAAAAUCCUUUCAUAGUAUUAUAAUGCUCAAUGUAGGAAGCAAGGCUGUAUGCUAAAUUCAGCUGUCUGCUUGAGUGGCCGAACCAGGGUUGUGAAACUCUAGGUGGGGCCUGGAGCUCUCCCGGGGUUAAAACUGGUCUCCAGGCUACAACAAUCAGUUCCCUUGAGAGAAAAUGGCUGCUUUGGAAGGCGGAGUCUAUAGCAUUAUAGGCCUGUGGGGUCUCUCCCCUCUCCAAACCCCACUGUCCCCAGGUUCCAUCCCCAAAUCUGCAGGAGUUUCCCAGUCUAGAGCUGGCAAUUGUAGUCUGGACAUGACAGUUUACAUCAAACCUACUGUACAUUCAGCUGCUAGACCAAGAUAUAAAACAGUACCCAGGAAAAGCCCAAUUUUUCCAAAAGGAAAAUAAUAAAACUUUUUGGCAAGUUGCUUAAAUAUUUUGAAUCAAAUUCAGGGGAAUCUAUAACAAUAUAUAUAUAAUUUUUAGUAAGUCUUAAAUAAAGCCUCAAAAUAAUGAAACAUUGCACAAAAAUAUUUUGAAAAACACUCCCAGUGUAAUCUGAAUUAACAUGAUUUUAGAAAUGUGACUACAGAUAUUGCGAUCGCUGAUACAGAAAGUCUGCAUUCUGAGUGGUGUAUUGUCUUCUAGUAAAUUUUUGCGUGGGUUCUAUUUGUUCCUUCAUCUUGUUGUUUAUUUUAACUGGGACUAAAGUGAUUGCUAUUCAAUCAUAAGAGCAAUACCAGUGAAAUGGUUUACAAUGUCAUCUCUUGCUACUGUUCUAAGAAUUCCAGGUGUAAGAUUUUUCCGUAGUAGUAAUUGUGAUCUCUGCAGGGCCAUUUAAAAAUUAUGCUAAAUUCAGAUUACACUAAACAUUAACUUUGUUUUGCUAAAAAUGCGUGUUUGAUUGUUCUGAGACUUUUUUCUAAGAUUUACCAAAUCUCAUAGAUUCUCAUGAAGAUUUCAAAAAUGUGUCAGGAGCUGCUUCCAGUGUUUUAAAAUAACUUUUACCUUUUGGGCUCUUCCUGGUUUCUGUUCUUCAUUGGUGGGUGUAUUCCAAGAUGAGAAGAGCUUGAGGAAGAUAUAGCAAGAACAAGAAACAUCUUGCCAGUAUUUGAAGAAUUCAGUUGAUUAAGACAGUGAAUGAGUGCUCCUAUGCAACAAACCUAUAACCCUAUGCAUGCUUGCUUGGGACUAAGUCCUCUUGAACUCUGGGUCUUACUUUUGAGUGAACAUAUGUAGGGUACUGUGGUGGUGGGUGAAGAUUUACUGCUAAUAGAUCAUCCCAUGUUUUUUAGCAGCCUGGUAAAAAAAGGCCACCAUCAUCUACAGCUUUACGGGAAGAAAAAGAAGAAAAGCAAUAACAAGGAGAAAUUGGCCUCUGCUGAGUGAGCCAGUGCCCUCUCGCUCGCCGACACUUCUAGUUUACCUGCCAUAUCUGCACAGCCACUCCAUGCUGGAUUUUAGCGAUCCCCACUCAUGCACUGCACUGUGAUAUUACUGAACCAGAGCCGGGGUGGGUCUUGCGUCUUAGUCCAUAUGAUGAAUUUGUGUGAGGAGUGCCAGCUGAGCAAAUGGCAUGGGCCUCCCUUCUCAGGCAUUCUGGGGAGGGGUCGACAGGCUAUUGGGAGGUCAGGAGACAUCAUCUAACGGGGUUGUCUUAAAAACAAUUGCACAGUCUUAUCAAAUUUCUGAAACGUCUGUUAUUGCACUUAGAGCUAGACAAUGAUGUCCUCUUUUCCCCUUCAUGCAUCAUCGUUAUUAGAUGCUGGCUACAGAUUACGUUGCCCACCAAAACAGAAGCCCCGUGUUGCCAAAAUUUGCUUACUGACAACUUUGAAGCAAGCUGAGAAGGCUGGAGCCAAAGAAGGGGUCAAGAUUUUUCCCCCUCCACUGUUGAGCCAUUCUUGUCUCUGUAUUUAGCAACUAUUUCUCCCUCCAAGGGGGGAGGGCGGGGGAAGUAACCAUUCUGCUGGGGCAGCAGCAGCAGCCAGCAUUUCCUGCUUCCCUGUGUUCACAUGUGAUCCCGUCCAGUUGUCUCUGCCUCUCUGGGCAGGAGUCUAGCAUUUUCAUCAGGCAAAGAUGGGCUGCCACACAUGGCAACUGGAAUGUGUAGCCAGCAUCUACUCAUCUUCCAUUGCAUACAAGGUCAAAAAAAGAGAAGUAAUGGUUGGGAUAGAUAAAUUUAACAACAGCGAUAGUUGCGGGGGUGGGAGGGUUGCUCCAGCCUAGAAUGCAGGUGGAAGAAUUGCCUGAGCCCUGCUCUGUGGGAAAAAUAACCCCGCACAUGUAAAACUAGCAUUGCGGAGAGAAAGCUAGGCUAGCAGUCUUCUUCUACCCCUCCAACUUUCGAUUCAAUCAAAUGAUCCCUGCAGUGGUACAAUCGAGGAAUUACUUUAUGUCUUAUUUGCUGUAUGAAUCUUAGAACAAAGGCAUGGUGAGGAUGAAAAAGGAGCUACUUUUCCCACAAGAUGGCAGGUUUGCCACCACUGUUCUAGGCACAGCUUGCACCUCCAAGGAACAUCAGUCUGCCAUGAGUCCCACCUGUGCUUUUACCGAAGAGGGAGAUGUGCCUGGGAGCUGUGUCCACAGGUCCCUUGGGGACUAGGUGUUAAAAAAAAAAUAAAGCACACAGCAGGAAUGAACAGACAGAAUGUAUCUAUGUAGGUAUGUACAUACCACACAGUGCAGUAAUUUUUGUACGUAGCAGCAAUGUAAAUAAAUAUAUGGUUUUUAUAAGAUUCUAUAAAGGCAUAUUUUAGUAGAAAACACUGCUCUACGGCUUCUUUUGUAAAUAGUUCUCAUCCAAAUAAAAAAAAAAGUCCUUUCUA